rnacentral:misc_RNA from 1 species
GUGGAGGAGAUAAGAAUAGCACCCUGCUGGCACACUGAUGAUGCUGUCAGCGAAUAGGACUUGCGUCGCGGUGGACUGGCUGGCCUGCUGACCGAGGGAGGGAAUGGACUGGCUGGCCUGCUGACCGACUGGUGGAGGAAUUAAUAAUAGCACCCUGCUGGCACACUGAUGAUGCUGUCAGCGAAUAGGACUUGCGUCGCGGUGGACUGGCUGGCCUGCUGACCGAGGGA